GACUAGAGUUUCCACUCAUCCUC
rnacentral:miRNA from 1 species